UUAAUGUUCACUGGAGUCUUGAGUGCAUUUAAGAAACUCCAGGAGUGCCCUGCCCCAUGAUGUACAGUCCCGUUCCAUGAUGUUGGAGAUGAAGCUGGGCCUCGAGUCUGCGCCUGCAUAUUCCUAAGGCUUCUCAGAGUCCUCUGGACCGUGACAGGAGACAAACCAUGCAGGAAACAGUC